AACAGGAUUAGAUACCCUGGUAGUCCACGCCGUAAACGAUGUCGACUUGGAGGUUGUUCCCUUGAGGAGUGGCUUCCGGAGCUAACGCGUUAAGUCGACCGCCUGGGGAGUACGGCCGCAAGGUUAAAACUCAAAUGAAUUGACGGGGGCCCGCACAAGCGGUGGAGCAUGUGGUUUAAUUCGAUGCAACGCGAAGAACCUUACCUACUCUUGACAUCCAGAGAACUUGGCAGAGAUGCCUAGGUGCCUUCGGGAACUCUGAGACAGGUGCUGCAUGGCUGUCGUCAGCUCGUGUUGUGAAAUGUUGGGUUAAGUCCCGCAACGAGCGCAACCCUUAUCCUUUGUUGCCAGCGAUUCGGUCGGGAACUCAAAGGAGACUGCCGGUGAUAAACCGGAGGAAGGUGGGGAUGACGUCAAGUCAUCAUGGCCCUUACGAGUAGGGCUACACACGUGCUACAAUGGCGCAUACAAAGAGAAGCGACCUCGCGAGAGCAAGCGGACCUCAUAAAGUGCCUCGUAGUCCGGAUCGGAGUCUGCAACUCGACUCCGUGAAGUCGGAAUCGCUAGUAAUCGUGGAUCAGAAUGCCACGGUGAAUACGUUCCCGGGCCUUGUACACACCGCCCGUCACACCAUGGGAGUGGGUUGCAAAAGAAGUAGGUAGCUUAACCUCCGGGAGGGCGCUUACCACUUUGUGAUUCAUGACUGGGGUGAAGUCGUAACAAGGUAACC
rnacentral:rRNA from 1 species